UACCAGCUCUCCGAGUGGUAGGGAUGAUUAUUGGGCUUAAAGCGUCCGUAGCCGGCUUAGCAAGUUUCCUGUUAAAUUCAGCGACCUAAUCGUUGAGCCGCGGGAAAUACUACUAGGCUAGGAGGCGGGAGAGGUCGACGGUACUUCUGGGGUAGGGGUGAAAUCCUAUAAUCCCGGGAGGACCACCAGUGGCGAAGGCUGUCGACUAGAACGCGCUUGACGGUGAGGGACGAAGCUGGGGGAGCGAACCGGAUUAGAUACCCGGGUAGUCCCAGCUGUAAACGAUGCGGGCUAGGUGUUGGGGUGGCUACGUGCCACUUCAGUGCCGCAGGGAAGUCAUUAAGCCCGCCGCCUGGGGAGUACGGCCGCAAGGCUGAAACUUAAAGGAAUUGGCGGGGGAGCACCACAAGGCGUGAAGCUUGCGGUUC
rnacentral:rRNA from 1 species